GAUGCCUGGCGCUGCAGCAAUCAUCUUGACACCAUGAGUGACAGACAGAUGUGGUAGCCCAGCAGCCUCAUACCCUGAGCUGGUUUUCAGUUACUGGCAGCUUUAUGCUAUAGUAUCAACAGCCCUGUGGAGCAAAUCACGGAUGAAGAGGCUGAAGGACAGAAAAACUUAGCUUCCUCCAAGCCACACAGCCAGGAAGUGACAGACACAUAAUUGCAACCGAAGCCCUUACUCUCUAGUGUUGAGGAAGUUCCAACUUCUUUCACUAAAUCCACCCCCUUCUCCACCUCCUGGUUAUCUCUGCUUUGGCCUCAACUUCUACCCUGCCCAACACAACACAACAUCCUUUACUACAGAAAUAACCAAACCUGAAUCCAUAGCUAACCGACCUGAGCUCCAUGGACCCUAAAGCGUCAAUGAAAUGCUUUUAGAGAUACAGGACCCCCUGAACCUGUUUUUAACAUCCGCUUCUAUGAUGAGCAACAUGGGUACACAGGCCACACAUAAGCCUGAAAGCAGGAGUGCUGUUUUCUACUCGAGUUUUCUGCUUUUCUGCCACUGCCAGAAGAAACUCUCAAGGACUUAGCUGAACUAAGGUUCAGAAGUACCAGUCAGGACUCUUUCCUCCAAGUCACAGAACCCGCUGAAGUGCAAAGCAUGCUGGGAGAACUCAUGGCAUCAAAGGAUGAACUCAACAAGCAGGAAGGCAAGAACCGGGACAGCCUCAGGGCCAACAUCCAAAAAGCACUGUCAAGAGAGUCCAGUUGGUCCCAGAUACCCAUUGUUAGAACUGAAGGGCGGAGGACGAGAUAGAGCCAACAAAUCCCCAGCUGGAAGAGAGAAGAGGCAGUAUACGUCACAGCUGGUGCCGUGGACGGAUUGGAGGGGACAUGGGUGGGUGCAGAGGAGAGCCAGAGGUGGAGACAGAGGGUAAAUGAAAAGGGGAGUAAAGGAGACAAGGUCAGAUAAGCAACUGUUUCAAGCUAGGAGGAGAUCACCAGUGAUUUUAAGAUGAUGUAAAGCAGGAACCAUGAAAUGUACUGUUCUCAAUUCUGUCUUCCUGUCAAUAAAACCAGGAGUGCCAGAUAGCAUCUGAGACCAGAUAACCAUA